CCAAACAUAGCCAACUGCUAAAAUAAUUAUUGUAUAGUUGGUGAGGCCUGCUCACUGAUUCUUAAUAAUAGAUAAUAAGAAUUCAAGAGCCGCGGUAACUCUGACCGUGCUAAGGUAGCAUAAUCACUCGUCAUUUAAUUGAUGACUGGAAUGAAGGGCUAAACGAGUUUUUCUCUGUCUCAGUUGUAGAAUAAGUGAAAUUAGUUGAUUUGUCAAGAACCAAAUCAGGCUUGAUAAGACGAGAAGACCCCGUUGAGCUUUACUUAACCUUUUCUUAUAAGAAAAUCCAGAGAAAUAGGAUAGUCAGAGAAGAAAGGGGCUAGUUUGGUUGGGGCGACCACCCAAAUAGACGAAACUUGGGUAAGCAAAGGUUCUAUUUAAUGUAGGAAACUUUACUAGUAGACUGAUAUGUCAGCUAGUUAGAGCUAUUUCUAAGCCAUAGGGACCCGCCAUCUUGUGGUGGCGAUAAUAGAUAAAAGUUACCACGGGGAUAACAGGGUUAUCUAGUCCUAGAGUUCAUAUCGAAGACUGGGUUUGCCACCUCGAUGUUGAAUU
rnacentral:rRNA from 1 species